rnacentral:lncRNA from 1 species
GUGUAGCGGGUGAACAGCGGAAGACUGGCGAGGAGACAGGAGCACGCUGACUGAUCAAUCAGUCCAGCUGCCAAAACACUUGGUGUGCAGAACCCAUGAGGAGCAGCGGGUCGCGACCCUUAGAUGUGUGCCACACAGGUGCCAAUCUGGACUUGCAUACUCCUAAAGAAUUACUGCUUCCCUUGUUAUCUGAUGCACCAUACCAUCUAGAAGCAGAGAUCUACUUAAAAAAAUCAUCCUGAAAUAAGAAUGCUCAGAUGAUCAGAGAAGUGGAAGUGGAUAAAGUGACUUUGCUGGAAAGAAAACAAGUUGAUGCAAUCAAGAAGCUCUGGGAAGACCCAGGAAUUCAAGAGUGCUAUUCAGGAAUGGAAAUAACAUGUCUUCCUUCAGACCAAGGUACAGGUACUACCCUCUGCCUCAAAUUUUUCUUCAAAAAAGCUAACGCAAUUAGACUAUUAAUCCACCAGUCUCCCACAACAAAAACAUCCACCCUCAGUGACAUGGAAUUAAUCAUUGAAUAUAAGUAUGCACUAGAGUUACAAACAUAUUUGUGUUUUACCAAACAUUUCUCUAUAAAAGCUGCAAAAAAUAACAUUCUCAAAAAUCUCACCAUUGCAAAU